rfam:Garciella nitratireducens DSM 15102 genome assembly, contig: BP36DRAFT_scaffold00015.15
UCUCGUAACGAUAGCGAAGGGGAAACACCUGUGCCCAUACCGAACACAGAAGUUAAGCCCUUCAGCGCCGAUGGUACUUGGACGGAGACGUCCUGGGAGAGUAGGUCGUUGCGAGAU